rnacentral:antisense_RNA from 1 species
GGGUGCUUGAGGCUUUCUGCCUUAAGCAGUGUGUAUGUUGACGGCAGAAAGAGAAAAGCCCCAUUCGAUAUUCAUCAAAUGAGGCCUGACCCUAAUGCGCAACAACAUGAAGGUUAGUCCUUUAUCGGUCGAAAGACAAGGAGGAGUAACCAUG